rnacentral:rRNA from 2 species
AGAGUUUGAUCCUGGCUCAGAACGAACGCUGGCGGCAGGCUUAACACAUGCAAGUCGAGCGAUCGCUACUUCAGCAAUGAUUUGGCGAGAGCGGCAGACGGGUGAGUAACGCGUGGGAACAUACCCUCCGGUUCGGAAUAGCUCAGGGAAACUUGGAUUAAUACCGGAUACGGCCUAGCGGCGAAAGAUUCAUCGCCGGAGGAUUGGCCCGCGUUCGAUUAGCUAGUUGGCGGGGUAAUGGCCCACCAAGGCGACGAUCGAUAGCUGGUCUGAGAGGAUGAUCAGCCACAUUGGGACUGAGACACGGCCCAAACUCCUACGGGAGGCAGCAGUGGGGAAUAUUGGACAAUGGGCGCAAGCCUGAUCCAGCCAUGCCGCGUGAGUGAUGACGGCCUUAGGGUUGUAAAGCUCUUUCGCUAGGGACGAUAAUGACGGUACCUAGACAAGAAGCCCCGGCUAACUUCGUGCCAGCAGCCGCGGUAAUACGAAGGGGGCUAGCGUUGUUCGGAAUUACUGGGCGUAAAGCGCGUGUAGGCGGGCGUUUAAGUCAGGGGUGAAAUGCCAAGGCUCAACCUUGGAACUGCCUUUGAUACUGGACGCCUCGAGUCCGGGAGAGGUGAGUGGAACUGCGAGUGUAGAGGUGAAAUUCGUAGAUAUUCGCAAGAACACCAGUGGCGAAGGCGGCUCACUGGCCCGGAACUGACGCUGAGACGCGAAAGCGUGGGGAGCAAACAGGAUUAGAUACCCUGGUAGUCCACGCUGUAAACGAUGGAUGCUAGCCGUUGGGGAGCUUGCUCUUCAGUGGCGCAGCUAACGCUUUAAGCAUCCCGCCUGGGGAGUACGGUCGCAAGAUUAAAACUCAAAGGAAUUGACGG